AUUGAACGCUAGCGGGAUGCCUUACACAUGCAAGUCGAACGGAGUGGCGAACGGUUGAUUAAUGUAUCGGAACGUGCCCAGUAGCGGGGGAUAACUACGCGAAAGCGUAGCUAAUACCGCAUACUCUUGGAGCGGCCGAUAUCGGGUUAGCUAGUUGGUGGGUUAACGGCUCCCCAAGGCGACGACCCGUAGCUGGUUUGCGAGGACGACCAGCCACACUGUGAGUGAGAGACGGCCCAGACGCCUACGGGAGGCAGCAGUGGGGAAUUUUGGACAAUGGGGGAAACCCUGAUCCAGCCAGCCCGCGUGUGUGAUGAAGGCCUUCGGGUUGUAAAGCACUUUUGGCAGGAAAGCGGUACCUGCAGAAUAAGCACCGGCUAACUACGUGCCAGCAGCCGCGGUAAUUC
rnacentral:rRNA from 1 species